rnacentral:rRNA from 1 species
AAAUUGAAGAGUUUGAUCAUGGCUCAGAUUGAACGCUGGCGGCAGGCCUAACACAUGCAAGUCGAACGGUAACAGGAAACAGCUUGCUGUUUCGCUGACGAGUGGCGGACGGGUGAGUAAUAUCUGGGAAACUGCCUGAUGGAGGGGGAUAACUACUGGAAACGGUAGCUAAUACCGCAUAACGUCGCAAGACCAAAGAGGGGGACCUU